rnacentral:rRNA from 1 species
AAUCAACGCUGGCGGCGUGCCUCAGACAUGCAAGUCGAACGAUUAAGACUCCCUUCGGGGGGUGCAUAAAGUGGCGCACGGGUGAGUAACACGUAAGUAAUCUACCUUUGAGUGGGGAAUAACAACCGGAAACGGUUGAUAAUACCGCAUAAUGCAGCGGCCCCGCAAGGUGACAGUUGUUAAAGGUUUAUCGCUUAAAGAGGAGCUUGCGGCAGAUUAGCUAGUUGGUAAGGUAAUGGCUUACCAAGGCGACGACCUGUAACCGGUCUAAGAGGACGGUCGGUCACACUGACACUGAAUAACGGGUCAGACUCCUACGGGAGGCAGCAGUCGGGAAUUUUGGGCAUUGGGCGAAAGCCUGACCCAGCAACGCCGCGUGAAGGAUGAAGUAUUUCGGUAUGUAAACUUCGAAAGAAUGGGAAGAAUAAAUGACGGUACCAUUUAUAAGGUCCGGCUAACUACGUGCCAGCCGCCGCGGUAACAC